AAAGGAAUUGACGGGACUCCGCACAAGCGGUGGAUCAUGUUGUUUAAUUCGAAGAUACACGAAAAAUCUUACCAGGUCUUGACAUGCUCUGCAAAGCWAUAGAAAWAUAGUGGAGGUUAUCAGGGACACAGGUGGUGCAUGGUUGUCGUCAGUUCGUGUCGUGAGAUGUUAGGUUAAGUCCUAAAACGAGCGCAACCCUUGUCGUUAGUUACCAGCACGUAAUGGUGGGCACUUUAACGAGACUGCCAAUUAAACAUUGGAGGAAGGUGAGGAUUACGUCAAAUCAUCAUGCCCCUUAUGAUCUGGGCUACAAACGUGAUACAAUGGCUGUUACAAAGAGUAGCUGAAGCGCGAGUUUUUAGCCAAUCUCAAAAAAGCAGUCUCAGUUCGGAUUGAAGUCUGUAACUCGACUUCAUGAAGUUGGAAUCGCUAGUAAUCGCGAAUCAGCAUGUCGCGGUGAAUACGUUCUCGGGGUUUGUACACACCGCCCGUCAAACCACGAAAGUUAGCAAUACCCGAAAGCAGCGGCUUAACUUCGCAAGAAGAGGGAACUGUCUAAGGUAGGGUUGAUGAUUGGGGUUAAGUCGUAACAAGGUAUCCCUACCGGAAGGUGGGGAUGGAUCACCUCCUUUCU
rnacentral:rRNA from 1 species